rnacentral:rRNA from 1 species
AGUGCACGCUGGCGGCGUGCGUAACACAUGCAAGUCGAACGGAGUGGCGCACGGGUGAGUAAUGUAUAGCUCACCUGCCCUUCACUCGAGGACAACAGUUGGAAACGGCUGCUAAUACUCUUUAGUGUAGUAUGCGGAUAUAUUGUAUCAGUUAGUUGGGGAGGUAAUGGCUCACCAAGGCUAUGACGCAUAACUGGUCUGAGAGGAUGAGCAGUCACACUGGAACUGCGACACGGUCCAGACUCCUACGAGAGUCAGCAGUAGGCAAUAUUGCUCAAUGGGUGAAUCCCUGAAGCAGCAACACCUCGUGAAUGAUGACACUUUUCGUAGCGUAAACUCCUUUUGUGAGGGGAGCGUUACCUAACGAAGAAGCACCGGCUAACUCCGUGCCAGCCGCCGCGGUAAUAC